AUUGAACGCUGGCGGCGUGCUUAACACAUGCAAGUCGAGCGGCAGCGCGGGAGCAAUCCUGGCGGCGAGCGGCGAACGGGUGAGUAAUGCUUCGGAAUCUGCCCUUCAGUGGGGAAUAACCAGUCGAAAGACUGGCUAAUACCGCAUACGAACUGAGGUUGAAAGCAGGGGAUCGCAAGACCUUGCGCUGAUGGAUGAGCCGAAGUCGGAUUAGCUUGUUGGUGGGGUAAUGGCCUACCAAGGCGACGAUCCGUAGCUGGUCUGAGAGGACGACCAGCCACACUGGGACUGAGACACGGCCCAGACUCCUACGGGAGGCAGCAGUGGGGAAUAUUGGACAAUGGGGGCAACCCUGAUCCAGCGACGCCGCGUGUGUGAAGAAGGCCUGCGGGUUGUAAAGCACUUUUAGUGGGGAUGAAAAGCCGAAGGCUAAUACCUUUCGGUCUUGACCUAACCCAAAGAAAAAGCACCGGCUAACUCUGUGCCAGCAG
rnacentral:rRNA from 1 species